UCAGGUGGGACUACCCGCUGAACUUAAGCAUAUCAAUAAGCGGAGGAAAAGAAAAUAACUAUGAUUCCCUUAGUAACGGCGAGUGAACAGGGAGAAGCCCAAAUUUGUAAUCUGGCACUUUUUACAGUGUCCGAGUUGUAAUUUGUAGAACUGUUAUCCGUG
rnacentral:rRNA from 1 species